GACAGUCCAUCCCUUUCUUUCCUGGUUACCGUACAUCACCUUCCUUUAUUCCGUUUUCUUUUUCCGCAAGUGUUCGUCUUCCCAAUUGAUAUCUCUCUCUCUUCACACAGAAAAAACCUCUCACCACGGUAACAAAAAAAAAACCCUAAAUCGACGCGUCUCCGUACACUGCUCCGCCUCCACUUUCCGCUGUUUCAACUUGUUUCAACUUUCGAGUAACGGAAUCCUAGCAGCUUGCUGCUGCUAGUAUCUCAUUCUCGCCGCCGGAAGAACGGUUUCGCACCUCCGAUUCAACGUGUUUAAAGGUUUUACUACGUCUGCUGUUCAAUGAGCACUGGUAUUGCAUCUACAUCUUGUGUUCCAAUGGAGAUUUCUGAGGCUGAAACGUUAUUCAACGCUUUGAAAUCUUGUGGGAUUCUACACGGUGGUAAUAUAAACCCCUCAAAAAUUGCAAUGGGACUUGAGUAUGAAGAAGCUAGAAAAGAGUCGAUAGAACUGAAAAGUCAUCUCGGGAGCGUUAGAAAUCAGGUAUAAAUAGACCUGUUAUAGGGUUGUCAGUUGACUAAGUCAAAGAGAGCAUUGGAUAUCUAAAUUAACACUUGUUUUGUUGUAGCAUGCGUGUUUUACAACUUAUUUGAACCAAUAGUCUGAUAAGCUCACACUAGGGUAAUCUAACCAAAACUGUAAUGUGAAUUCAAAGAACAAUGGAAUGGUGGUGAACUCGUAUGAUAUUCAUAAAAAGAAAGAUAAAUCUCACUUUCGAGAGGUGGGUGCUCUCCAAGUUCGCAUAAGCAAAUACAAGUUCAACAUAUCCCUGAAAAGAUACCACCACUAACUAUUAAUACUAAUAAAAGGACAAAAGACUGCCAUGCUGAGGACGUUAAACAUUCCUUCCCCACCAACAAUAUUUCCCAUACCACAGCCAUUAGAAAACACCGAAAGAUCAAACUACCCCUGGUUUGUCCCCUGUUGAUACUUGGGGCUGAUCAUGCCUCAUUGGCCUGUUAACAGCUGCUAGAAAACACCGAAAGACCAAACUACCCCUGGUUUGUCCCCUGUUGAUACUUGGGCUGAUCAUGCCCCAUUGGACUGUUAUUCUUGGGCCUUUUCUUAUUCUUACGAGUGUAGACAUGCAUGACUGGGGGCCUAUCAUAGUCUUGGUUUUAGCUUACUUAUUAGUUAUAAUCUCUAAUUAGGUGAAGAUAAAAUUAGUAUUAAUUUUCAAUAGAAAUUCGCUAAAAAUGAAAUAGUCGUCGCUAUUUCAUCGCUAUCGCUAAAUAGCAUAUAAGUAGGUUGUUGCUAUUACCUCGCUAUCGCUAUCGAUUACACAAUAUAUUAUUCUUAUUAAUAAUAUUUAAUUUUUUAGCUUUAUUUUUUCUUAAAAUCGAAAUGAACAGUUGAAAAGUUAAGGUCUAUUCAACUUUCAUUUUUCACAAUUAAAAAUGAAUAUCAAUUACAAUCUGAAUUAUCCAACAAACAGUUAAUAUCUUUUUGUUCCUCAGGAAGUUGUAUUUCAUAUCGGCCUUUAUUUGAAAGUUCAGUUGGAUUCCAAUUUUUGUUAACAGUUUACCGACCUGCAAAACAAAACAAAACCAGUGGAAAUAGUUUUUAGGGCUUUUAUAGAAACUUUAAAAUAAAAAUACAUAAAAAACUUUUAAAUAAAAGGAUACAUUAUCAUACCUUCUCUUUCAGCACCGAAACAUUGUCUCCAGAUUCACCAUGCCCAGUGAUUACAUAUAUCACUUUUACAACUUUUAUUAAAAAAUAAAUAAAUAAAUAAUAAUAAACAAUUAAAUAAGCUGAUUGUAUUGAGCUUACUCCGAAGGUUAUAAAACAAGAAUAGAUGAAGCUUUACAAACCAUAGAGCUUCAUCAGGAUGGAGACCAUGUAAAUCAAAAAAUUAUUUGAUUUCGAAUUUCUUUAUGCCUGAAAAAAUGAAAACAUUUUAAUCAACAUGAAAAUCUUAUUGAUUAUAUGUUAAGAAGUUUGAAUUGAAAGGAAACAAGGUAAAUUUAAUUUAUUACCUCAACUCAAUUAGCUUGAAGCUAUUUUUCUUCUUAUUAUUAUCUAUCUUCUUUCUUUCUGCUUUUACAUGUUCCCAUUCAUUUACAAGCUUCUCCACAUAUUUGAUUUGAGUUUCCAGUUCUGAUGUUUGUUUCUUGAAAUCUCUACAGUCGGCAAUUGUUUCAAGUUGCCGACUGUAGAGAUUUCAAGGAACAAAAAUCAGAAUUGGAAACUCAAGUCAAAUAUGUGGAGAAACUUGUAAUAAUUUUGUUAGAGGAGUAUUUUAGUUUUCACCUCACAUUUAUGAGGCUCGUUGAAUUCAAAAGUCUUUAAAAACUAUCAUCCAUCUACAGUUUUACAUUAUUCUUAUUAAUAAUAUUUAAUUUUUUAGCUUUAUUUUUUCUUAAAAUCGAAAUGAACAGUUGAAAAGUUAAGGUCUAUCCAACUAUCAUUUUUCACCAUUAAAAAUGAUUUGAAUGAUAUGCGUAAUUCAUCAAAAAAAAUUGUAUUUUGUUCUCUCUAAAAUAAAUAUGAUAAUAAUGUUUCUUUAUUACUAGACUUUAAGUCUUUCUCUUUUUAUCUAUCAAGUAGAAAUUGUGACAUCAUAUUUGCAAUAUCUAUCUAUUUUUUUAUGUGCAAUUAAUUUCUUAAAACAAUGUUUUUCAUAAAUUUUUGUAUGUUGUCUCCUUCAUAUAUUCUUAAAUAAUGAAUAACUUCAAACCAUUAAUGGUCAAUAGUCCUACAUUUUAUUUUUUUCGUUUUUAUUAAAUUGUAACCCAUUGGGCAUUUUCAUUAACUUAAGUGUCAAAAGCCACCAUUAAAAGUCAAUCUAGAUGUAGAGAACAUAAAAUCUCAUGACCCUUCCACGAAAAAAAGAAAAUUUUUUAAAUUCCCUUGAAUAUAUCAUCGCAUAAAACCAUAAUCGUUUUUCUUUAAUGAACUUCACGUUUAGAAGUAUUCUCUCACAAACACUCUUUCAUAUAAUCACAGCUAUGUUUCACUUACCUUUCGGGUUUCAACCGUCUCUUUGUUACACGAGAGGGUAUAUUCAAAGAAAUCUCAUAUCGUUCAAGGUCUUUUGUUCUGAUGUGGCAUGCAUUUUGUUUCUAGGUGGAAUAGGUGAAUUUGAGAAAUCAACUUAAAAAUCGAAAAAAGCGAAACGGUUUUAUUAUGUUAGAGUCAAGGUUAGCAAAAUGUUUUUUUGUUAUUUAUUUUAUUUUUUAAUGAAGUUGGCUUUUGUUUUUUACUAUGGAUGUCACUUUCUAUUUUCUUUAAACAACAUAUAACACAUUAAAACGAAAUUUAGUUAUGCAUUUUUUAGUAAUAAGCGCUUUGAUACCACUCUCAGAAUUGACCUCAAAGAUCAAAAACCACUGCAAGCGAUUUCGUUUUUAAAAAUCCAUAUAUGGGUCGGCUACAACCUCAGAAAUAUAUAUAUAUAUAUAUAUAUAUAUAUAUAUAUAUAUAUAUAUAUAUAUAUAUAUAUAUAUAAAACCUAUUAAAUAACUUUUUAUGUCUUAAACUAAUCAUGUAAGGUUUUUUUUUCUAAUCUAAACUGUUGUGCGUCUCAUAAAUGUAAUAACUGGAAAUGCAAAUCAAGAUUUGAACUUAAAGUUAAAGGUAUAAAUUUGUUUAUUUUACGAAAUAUUAUCAAAAUGAUUAAUUGACUUCCAACAUCUACAACAAAAUAAAAUAGUUAUUUGUGAGGUCUUUCUAAGCUAACAAACACAAAAAUAAAAUGCCUAGAAUACUUUACCUUGCAGGUUAAUAUUUUCAUGAAAUUUGUUACAUGAUAGUAAAGAUUGUAAAACUCUCUCCCAACUUUGUACUUCAGAAUCAUUACCCGACUGAAUCUCUUCACACGGAAAGAUAGCGUCUUUUUGUUCCGGAUAAAAUGCAAUAUCGAAUCCAUCUCUAUCGUUGUUUUCUUCGGAAUGAACAUUUGUAUGAAAUAAGAAAUUACUGAUCUGCAAAGCUUGUUUUUGCAGAUCAACAAUUUCUUAUUUCAUACAAAUGUUCAUUCCGAAGGAAACAGCAACAGAGAUGAAUUUGAUAUUGCAUUUUAUCCAGGCCAAACAGACGCUAUCUUUCUGUGUGAAGAGAUUCAGUCGGGUAAUGAUUUUGAAGUACAAAGUUGGGAGAGAGUUUUACAAUCUUUACUAUUAUGUAACAAAUUUCAUGAAAAUAUUAACCUGCAAGGUAAAAUAUUCUAGGCAUUUCUUUUUGGUGUUUGUUAGCUUAGAAAAGACCUCACAAAUAACUAUUUUAUUUUGUUGCAGAUGUUGGAAGUCCAUUAAUCAUUUUGAUAAUAUUUAAGUAAAGUAAACAAAUUUAUACCUUUAACUUUAAGUUCAAAUCUUGAUUUGCAUUUCCAGUUAUUACAUUUAUGUGACGCACAGCAGUUUAGAUUAAAAAAAAACCUUACAUGAUUAGUUUGACAUAAAAAGUUAAUAUAUAUAUAUAUAUAUAUAUAUAUAUAUAUAUAUAUAUAUAUAUAUAUAUAUAUACUUCUGAGGUUGUAGCCGAUCCAUAUAUGGAUUUUUAAAAACGAAAUCGCUUCCAAUGGUUCUUGAUCUCUGAGGUCAAUUCUGAGUGUUACUGAAAAAUGCAUAACAUAAUUUCGUUUUAAUGUGUUAUAUGUUGUUUAAAGAAAAUAGAAAGUGACAUCCAUAGUCAAAAACAAAAGCCAACUUCAUUAAAAAAUAAAAUAAAUAACAAAAAAACAUUUUGCUAACCUUGACUCUAACAUAAUAAAACCGUUUCGCUUUUUUCGAUUUUUAAGUUGAUUUCUCAAAUUCACCUAUUCCACCUAGAAACAAAAUGCAUGCCACAUCAGAACAAAAGACCUUGAACGAUAUGAGAUUUCUUUGAAUAUACCCUCUCGUGUAACAAAGAGACGGUUGAAACCCGAAAGGUAAGUGAAACAUAGCUGUGAUUAUAUGAAAGAGUGUUUGUGAGAGAAUACUUCUAAACGUGAAGUUCAUUAAAGAAAAACGAUUAUGGUUUUAUGCGAUGAUAUAUUCAAGGGAAUUUAAAAAAUUUUCUUUUUUUCGUGGAAGGGUCAUGAGAUUUUAUGUUCUCUACAUCUAGAUUGACUUUUAAUGGUGGCUUUUGACACUUAAGUUAAUGAAAAUGCCCAAUGGGUUACAAUUUAAUAAAAACGAAAAAAAUAAAAUGUAGGACUAUUGACCAUUAAUGGUUUGAAGUUAUUCAUUAUUUAAGAAUAUAUGAAGGAGACAACAUACAAAAAUUUAUGAAAAACAUUGUUUUAAGAAAUUAAUUGCACAUAAAAAAAUAGAUAGAUAUUGCAAAUAUGAUGUCACAAUUUCUACUUGAUAGAUAAAAAGAGAAAGACUUAAAGUCUAGUAAUAAAGAAACAUUAUUAUCAUAUUUAUUUUAGAGAGAACAAAAUACAAUUUUUUUUGAUGAAUUACGCAUAUCAUUCAAAUCAUUUUUAAUGGUGAAAAAUGAUAGUUGGAUAGACCUUAACUUUUCAACUGUUCAUUUCGAUUUUAAGAAAAAAUAAAGCUAAAAAAUUAAAUAUUAUUAAUAAGAAUAAUGUAAAACUGUAGAUGGAUGAUAGUUUUUAAAGACUUUUGAAUUCAACGAGCCUCAUAAAUGUGAGGUGAAAACUAAAAUACUCCUCUAACAAAAUUAUUACAAGUUUCUCCACAUAUUUGACUUGAGUUUCCAAUUCUGAUUUUUGUUCCUUGAAAUCUCUACAGUCGGCAACUUGAAACAAUUGCCGACUGUAGAGAUUUCAAGAAACAAACAUCAGAACUGGAAACUCAAAUCAAAUAUGUGGAGAAGCUUGUAAAUGAAUGGGAACAUGUAAAAGCAGAAAGAAAGAAGAUAGAUAAUAAUAAGAAGAAAAAUAGCUUCAAGCUAAUUGAGUUGAGGUAAUAAAUUAAAUUUACCUUGUUUCCUUUCAAUUCAAACUUCUUAACAUAUAAUCAAUAAGAUUUUCAUGUUGAUUAAAAUGUUUUCAUUUUUUCAGGCAUAAAGAAAUUCGAAAUCAAAUAAUUUUUUGAUUUACAUGGUCUCCAUCCUGAUGAAGCUCUAUGGUUUGUAAAGCUUCAUCUAUUCUUGUUUUAUAACCUUCGGAGUAAGCUCAAUACAAUCAGCUUAUUUAAUUGUUUAUUAUUAUUAUUAUUUUUUUUUUAAUAAAAGUUGUAAAAGUGAUAUAUGUAAUCACUGGGCAUGGUGAAUCUGGAGACAAUGUUUCGGUGCUGAAAGAGAAGGUAUGAUAAUGUAUCCUUUUAUUUAAAAGUUUUUAUGUAUUUUUAUUUUAAAGUUUCUAUAAAAGCCGUAAAAACUAUUUCCACUGGUUUUGUUUUGUUUUGCAGGUCGGUAAACUAUUAACAAAAAUUGGAAUCCAACUGAACUUUCAAAUAAAGGCCGAUAUGAAAUACAACUUCCUGAGGAACAAAAAGAUAUUAACUGUUUGUUGGAUAAUUCAGAUUGUAAUUGAUAUUCAUUUUUAAUUGUGAAAAAUGAAAGUUGAAUAGACCUUAACUUUUCAACUGUUCAUUUCGAUUUUAAGAAAAAAUAAAGCUAAAAAAUUAAAUAUUAUUAAUAAGAAUAAUAUACUGUGUAAUCGAUAGCUAUAGCGAGGUAAUAGCAACAACCUACUUAUAUGCUAUGUAGCGAUAGCGACGACUAUUUCAUUUUUUUAGCGAAUUUCUAUUGAAAAUUAAUACUACUUUUAUCUUCACCUAAUUAGAGAUUAUAACUAAUAAGUAAGCUAAAACCAAGACUAUGAUAGGCCCCCAGUCAUGCAUGUCUACACUCGUAAGAAUAAGAAAAUGCCCAAGAAUAACAGUCCAAUGGGGCAUGAUCAGCCCAAGUAUCAACAGGGGACAAACCAGGGGUAGUUUGGUCUUUCGGUGUUUUCUAGCAGCUGUUAACAGGCCAAUGAGGCAUGAUCAGCCCAAGUAGUUUGGUCCUUCAUGAGAUUUUAUGUUCUCCACAUCUAGAUUGACUUUUAAUGGUGGGCUUUUGACACUUAAGUUAAUGAAAAUGCCCAAUGGGUUACAAUUUAAUAAAAACGAAAAAAAUAAAAUGUAGGACCAUUGACCAUUAAUGGUUUGAAGUUAUUCAUUAUGUAAGAAUAUAUGAAGGAGACAACAUACAAAAAUUUAUGAAAAACACUGUUUUAAGAAAUUAAUUGCACAUAAAAAAAUAGAUAGAUAUUGCAAAUAUGAUGUCACAAUUUCUACUUGAUAGAUAAAAAGAGAAAGACUUAAAGUCUAGUAAUAAAGAAACAUUAUUAUCAUAUUGUAGAUGAAUGAUAGUUUUUAAAGACUUUUGAAUUCAACGAGCCUCAUAAAUGUGAGGUGAAAACUAAAAUACUCCUCUAACAAAAUUAUUACAAGCUAAAUUUAAUCACUGGGCAUGGUGAAUCUGGAGACAAUGUUUCGGUGCUGAAAGAGAAGGUUGGUAAACUGUUAACAAAAAUUGGAAUCCAACUGAACUUUCAAAUAAAGGCCGAUAUGAAAUACAACUUCUUGAGGAACAAAAAGAUAUUAACUGUUUGUUGGAUAAUUCAGAUUGUAAUUGAUAUUUAUGUUUUUAUUUGUUUAUUUAUUUUUAUUUUAGUAUUUGUAAAAUGAUGAAAUUGAGGACUUAAUCCAUAAAUUGCAGCAACACGUGUUUUGUUUUGUUA